AUACGGAAGGUCCGGGCGUUAUCCGGAUUUAUUGGGUUUAAAGGGAGCGCAGGCGGAGAUGCAAGCGUGACGUCAAAUUUCGGGGCUCAACCCCGUCUCGCGUCGCGAACUGCGUCCCUUGGAUGCGGGAAGGGGAGGCGGAACUCGUGGUGUAGCGGGGAAAUGCAUAGAUAUCACGAAGAACUCCGAUCGCGAAGGCAGCCUUCCGGCCCGUCAACGACGCUCAUGCUCGAAGGUGCGGGUAUCAAACAGGAUUAGAUACCCUGGUAGUCCGCACAGUAAACGAUGGACACCCGCGGUUUGGCCUGUAUGGCUGAGCCGCCAAGCGAAAGCGUUAAGUGUCCCACCUGGGGAGUACGCCGGCAACGGUGAAACUCAAAGGAAUUGGCGGGG
rnacentral:rRNA from 1 species